AUUUAACCAUUGAGUCAACAUGCAGGGCCCAAAAUUGCUUAAUUCUUAAUGCAUUACUAGCAUUGUGCUUGGCAGUAGGAACUCUGAAUACACAAAAAUGUAUUUCCUAGGGCCAGGUCAUUGUUAGCACUGUAACAUUACACUGUCUCUUCUUGUCCUGGAUUGUAUCUAUGAAAAGACCUAAGUUGCUUUCAGCCUUCGUUAAUAAUGCUGUCUUAAACCAAAAAGAAUAAAUCUUUAUGAUCUCAGGCAGUGAAUAAACUGGAACCAACUUAGAACUGAAUUGUCAUUGUUUGUAUAUCCAGCAGCUGUAAGAAUAAUAAGAAAGGCAUUCUUUCAUUCAAAACAGGAUUGUGAUUCUCUGUGUAAAAAUGUGUGCAUUUUCGUUUUUCUGUGGUAAAAAUAACUUUGAAUUGUAUACUUAAGUGUCAUGUUAGAGGUCUCAUUCCAUGAUCAUUUGUUCAUUCACAUGUGUUUUUAUUUUUAGCUCUAAGCGAAAGACAUGAGGCCUCGGCCUGAAAUGAGGUUGUGUUGAGGUCAUCUGAUUUGUGACUAGAAGGUGUGCGGUCGCCUCGUCCAGAAACCACUUCAAACACUAUGGUUUGCAAUUUUUUUGGUGAUGGCAUGUUCAGAAUCUUGGAUCCCUAAAUUGAAUAUUGGAAUUAUUUAGGAACCCUGGAAAUUACAUUUUUGUGUACACAAUAACUUACUAGAUGAAUCAAUACAUGGAAUAAAAAUACAUAAAAGAACAGC